rnacentral:rRNA from 1 species
GCAAGUCGAGGGGUAACAGGGAUUGCUUGCAAUCCGCUGACGACCGGCGCACGGGUGCGUAACGCGUAUGCAACCUACCUUCUACAGGGGGAUAGUCAAUAGAAAUGUUGAAUAAUACCCCAUACGAUCUUCAAGAGGCAUUACUUGAAGAAGAAAGCUCCGGCGGUAGAAGAUGGGCAUGCGUCCUAUUAGUUAGUUGGAGAGGUAACGGCUCCCCAAGACAUCGAUAGGUAGGGGUCCUGAGAGGGAGACC